rnacentral:lncRNA from 1 species
AUGCCUCUAAUCCAAGAAGCCUCUACGGUACCUGCCAGUAUUUUGAGGACGAUUUACAACAUUAAAUCCUGCAACAGGGGAAUGGGACAGAGCUGGAGCUGUCUGGCCCGCAGCAUCCCUGUAACAGUGCAAGAGGACAAGCUGGGAGAAGUCAGCUGCAACCAGGAGUCCUACGGCACGUAAGAGCGCAGUCAAGCUUUUCUUCACAUGGAUGAAGUACUCCCAGGGGCUGGUUGUCCCCCAAGAAUGGAUCAUCGUCUUCGAUCUCCUUGCCCUUGGCUUUAGAAGCAGAGCAUGUUGCACUGACCUGUCUCCUCCAACACAAAAAUGGAGCAGCACGGGCAGCAAGAGGGAAACCUCAAACUAAAAUACCACCAACCAAAGCACUUUCUUGUUGGUGGUAUUGUGAAAAACUGCAGGUAUGAGAAGUUUAUGGCCCACAGCUUGACCCAAACCA